rnacentral:rRNA from 1 species
CCUACGGGAGGCAGCAGUAGGGAAUAUUGCUCAAUGGGGGAAACCCUGAAGCAGCAACGCCGCGUGAAUGAUGAAGGUUUUCGGAUUGUAAACUCCUUUUGUUAGAGAAGAUAAUGACGGUAUCUAACGAAUAAUCACCUGCUAACUCCUGGCCAGCAGCCGCGGUAAUACGGAGGGUGCAAGCGUUACUCGGAAUCACUGGGCGUAACGAGCGCGGAGGCGGGAUAGCAAGUCAGAUGUGAAAUCCUAUGGCUUAACCAUAGAACGGCAUUUGAAACUGGUAUACUAGAGUAUGGGAGAGGUAGGGGGAAUUCUAGGUGUAGGGGUAAAAUCCGUAGAGAUAAAGAGGAAUACUCAUUGCGAAGGCGACCUGCUAGAACAUAACUGACGCUGAUGCGCGAAAGCGUGGGGAGCAAACAGGAUUAGAUACCCCUGUAGUC